rnacentral:rRNA from 1 species
AUUGAACGCUGGCGGCAUGCUUUACACAUGCAAGUCGAACGGUCACAGGCCUUCGGGUGCUGACGAGUGGCGACCGGGUGAGUAAUACUUCGGAACGUACCCCGAGGCGGGGGAUAACGCAGCGCAAGCUGAGCUCAUACCGCAUGUGAUCUGAGAUUGAAAGCGGCGGAGUGCGCAACAAUGUUAGGCCUCGCGUCUUUGGUGCAGAUGGUGUCGGAUUAGCUAGUUGGUAGGGUAAAGGCUUACCAAGGCGACGAUCCGUAGCUGAUCUGAGAGGACGACCAGCCACACUGGGACUGAGACACGGCCCAGACUCCUACGGGAGGCAGCAGUGGGGAAUUUUGGGCAAUGGGCGCAAGCCUGAUCGAGCAAUGCCGCGUGCGGGAAGAAGGCCUUCGGGUUGUAAACCGCUUUUGGCAGGAACGAAACGGUGUCCGCGAAUACCUGGCGCUAAUGACGGUACCUGCAGAAUAAGCACCGGCUAACUACGUG